UACGUAGGUGGCGAGCGUUGUCCGGAUUUAUUGGGUUUAAAGGGUGCGUAGGCGGCUUUGUAAGUCAGUGGUGAAAUACUCCAGCUUAACUGGAGGGGUGCCAUUGAUACUGCGGAGCUUGAGUACAGAUGAGGUAGGCGGAAUUGACGGUGUAGCGGUGAAAUGCAUAGAUAUGUCACAGAACACCAAUUGCGAAGGCAGCUUACUAAGCUAUGAUUGACGCUGAGGCACGAAAGCGUGGGGAUCAAACAGG
rnacentral:rRNA from 1 species